AGAGUUUGAUCCUGGCUCAGGACGAACGCUGGCGGCGUGCUUAACACAUGCAAGUCGAACGGAAAGGUCUCUUCGGAGAUACUCGAGUGGCGAACGGGUGAGUAACACGUGGGUGAUCUGCCCUGCACUUCGGGAUAAGCCUGGGAAACUGGGUCUAAUACCGGAUAGGACCACGGGAUGCAUGUCUUGUGGUGGAAAGCGCUUUAGCGGUGUGGGAUGAGCCCGCGGCCUAUCAGCUUGUUGGUGGGGUGACGGCCUACCAAGGCGACGACGGGUAGCCGGCCUGAGAGGGUGUCCGGCCACACUGGGACUGAGAUACGGCCCAGACUCCUACGGGAGGCAGCAGUGGGGAAUAUUGCACAAUGGGCGCAAGCCUGAUGCAGCGACGCCGCGUGGGGGAUGACGGCCUUCGGGUUGUAAACCUCUUUCACCAUCGACGAAGGUCCGGGUUCUCUCGGAUUGACGGUAGGUGGAGAAGAAGUACCGGCCAACUACGUGCCAGCAGCCGCGGUAAUACGUAGGGUGCGAGCGUUGUCCGGAAUUACUGGGCGUAAAGAGCUCGUAGGUGGUUUGUCGCGUUGUUCGUGAAAUCUCACGGCUUAACUGUGAGCGUGCGGGCGAUACGGGCAGACUAGAGUACUGCAGGGGAGACUGGAAUUCCUGGUGUAGCGGUGGAAUGCGCAGAUAUCAGGAGGAACACCGGUGGCGAAGGCGGGUCUCUGGGCAGUAACUGACGCUGAGGAGCGAAAGCGUGGGGAGCGAACAGGAUUAGAUACCCUGGUAGUCCACGCCGUAAACGGUGGGUACUAGGUGUGGGUUUCCUUCCUUGGGAUCCGUGCCGUAGCUAACGCAUUAAGCACUCCGCCUGGGGAGUACGGCCGCAAGGCUGAAACUCAAAGGAAUUGACGGGGGCCCGCACAAGCGGUGGAGCAUGUGGUUUAAUUCGAAGCAACGCGAAGAACCUUACCUGGGUUUGACAUGCACAGGACGCGUCUAGAGAUAGGCGUUCCCUUGUGGCCUGUGUGCAGGUGGUGCAUGGUUGUCGUCAGCUCGUGUCGUGAGAUGUUGGGUUAAGUCCCGCAACGAGCGCAACCCUUGAUCUUAGUUGCCAUCAUUAAGUUGGGCACUCUAAGGUGACUGCCGGUGACAAACCGGAGGAAGGUGGGGAUGACGUCAAAUCAUCAUGCCCCUUAUGACCUGGGCUACACACGUGCUACAAUGGACGGUACAAAGAGCUGCAAUGCCGCGAGGUUAAGCGAAUCCUUAAAAGCCGGUCUCAGUUCGGAUCGGGGUCUGCAACUCGACCCCGUGAAGUCGGAGUCGCUAGUAAUCGCAGAUCAGCAACGCUGCGGUGAAUACGUUCCCGGGCCUUGUACACACCGCCCGUCACGUCAUGAAAGUCGGUAACACCCGAAGCCAGUGGCCUAACCCUCGGGAGGGAGCUGUCGAAGGUGGGAUCGGCGAUUGGGACGAAGUCGUAACAAGGUAGCCGUACCGGAAGGUGCGGCUGGAUCACCU
rnacentral:rRNA from 1 species